AACAAGUUUUUCUCACUUUCUGUGUCUAGAAAACGAGAGUUUCUCUCUCUAAAAACCCUAACCUAAGCUAAAAUCUGCUAAUACAUCCCUCUCCCCCUUGAAAAUGUCGUACAAUUAGUAUAUAUACCAAGCAACGUAGUAAUCUCCGUCAAAAGAAAGUGUUCGCAGAACAGGUCGUCCCGGCCGGGACGGGGUGUCCCGGGCGGGAUGAGUGAGCUGGGCUAAAAUUGCAAAAGGUUCCAGUACCAAAAUCCUGGCCAGGGUGAAAUUCGUCGCGGGCGGGACGCCUCGUCGCGGCCGGGAUGGGUCCUGGUCGCGGCCGGGAUGAAUUUUCUCGCGGAGAAUCGUACAUACUCUUCUUCAAGUGGCCAUAACUUCUUCGUUACUCGUCCAAAUAAGGCGUGUGACCACUCGUUGGAAAGAUCUUGGAAUAAUAUUUCAUCACCAACUGGAAUCACAUGAAAAUAUUAAGAAUAAAAAUAGUUAUUGUCGUUUUAGUGUGGCUCUUGUGCACAAGUCUUGCAAAAACUCUUCCAAAUGGUUUUAUUUAAGCUCCUUUGCGCCCUUCCAUUCUUUGUGAGUGGCAUGUAGACGUGCAAGAUCCAAACCUACAACAUUAAACACAAGGAAGCAGUACCAAAUCCUAAAAAUGUGACAAAAUUAACUAAAAUUUACAAAAGACCUAUAACUAUAACAAUUAUCUAAAACUAAGCAAAAUAAGAUAGGAACUGUACAAUGAUGAUGGAAAAAAAUGAAAAUGGGAGGAAAAAGACACUUAAUAGUUGACAAAACUACCACUUAUCAAUGGGCUAGCAGUUAAAGGAGACGAGGAAGAGCUUGGCGAAAAAGAGUUAAAUUCAAUGCCGAAGUUUAGUCAUCCGGCAGUGAAUGGAGUGAGAAAUGAAGAUGAUGAGGUUAAUCUAUGCGGCACUCCUUUGUCCCUUACUUGUAAGGAUGCAGGAGCAGGAGCAGGAGCAGGCGUGACAUUUGUUGUGUUGUAUUGCUCUAAUAAUGGGGGAGAGUAGUAGCACCACUAUUGACAGAACUAAGUCUUUCAUACUCCUCUACUUUGGUUCAACAAAGUCAAGAUUCAAUAUGCUAUACGAAAAAACAUGAAAGCAAUUAAUCUGAAAUUAUUUGGAAUUCUUCCAUAAAGUUCAUGGCUCCUUAUAGUAUAAGUAUAUCCGAUCUGUACAUAUAUAUUUAAGUAUAUUAUCAUGCUAUUAAUCUAAAUUAAUUAUAAUUUAAUCUAGUCGAUCGAUCAUCAUGUUCCCUAUAUUUUGAAAUUAACAAGCUCCUACAUUACGUUUUUAUAUGAUCAUCCUUUUUAAUUUGAAGCUAUGAAUUCGGUUUAGUUAAAAUGUAAAAUACCAUAGGAAAUGGAUAGAACAAGUAGAAAUUAAAAUAUACAAUAAGAUAAUUAAAGAUAUAAUUAUAACACAAUAUAUUGGAUCAAAAUUAAUAAUAAUACUACAUCCUCAUCUUAUACACAAUAUAUUGGAUCAAAUUAAUAAUAAUAAUUACAUCCUUAUCUUAUACACAAUAUAUUGGAAAAGAUUAAGAAUUUAUAAGUUAGUAAAAUUCUAAUAUUACGUAAUAGUUUUAUUAGCCGUACUCCGUAGUUAGAAACCCGUGCGAUAUCACUACUAGUUACUCUGUAUUUUCAUAGAGGAAUUAGGAAGUACCUUUAGUUUCUUAUAUCAGAAAAUAAAAUUAAAAAAUCCUAAUUUUCGUUUGACCAAUAUAUAUAUAUAUAUAGGACCAGGUUCUGGUGAGAACCUCCCUUAAGAUAAGAACCAUCUUAUAAUGAGAACCUUUGAUAACCGUUGGAUUAAAACAAAACGGACAGUUGAGAUUAAAUCUCGCGAAUUUGGUUGCGCGGUUACUUUCUCUCUCCACCUCACAAGAAAUGUUAGUCUCUCUCUUCACCCCUCUAUACUCUACGGUUUCCUUCUGGUUCAUCGAAAUUUUGUCAACAAUUGCCCAAAGUCGAUCUCCAAUACGCAUUUUCUCUCUCCAAUUCUUCAAAUUGUUAUGAGAUUGUUUAGCUUCUGAGUCGAAUCUACAAAUCGAUUUCAAAAUCGGACUCUACAUUGUAUCAUUUGUUGAAUUUGCUGCCAAUUUUCUCAAAUUUAAAGUUGAAUUAGUCAAGAUUGUUGUUAAAUUUCGUGAUUCCAUUCCAAAUUUCUCAAAUAUAGAGACUGUCCUGCACUCGUUAUAUUCGCAGGUGUAUGAUGAAAUAAUGAAGCCUGUUUUCCCACUGAUAUUCCUAAAAAGCAACAUGUUUUGCAUAUGGUCAAACAGCAGGUGGUUUUGGGUUUGGUUGGGUCUGGCUAUGGGGUUCAAGUGCUAGUUUGCAGCCUAUUUAUGGUGUUGUGACAAGUCUGAUGUUGGUGUAGGUUGCUAGUCAAGCUCAAAGAUCUGGUCAAUGUGAGCAGUCAGUUGUGCCAUAGUUGACCUCCGUUGACUAUGUCGUUGGUUUGUUUUGUAAAUUAAAUCUCUCUAAAAGUAAAAUAAAAGAUAAUGGAACUUUGAUUUUAAUUUUUUCUUAAAUAUAAAGUCGAAACCUAUUAGCUCAAAUGGUAGAGCAAUGUGUCAUUGCACAUGGGUGUAGGUUCAAAUCCUACAUAGGUUGGUGACAUUCCAUAAAAAUUAUCACUUGAGUACUCCUCCGAUUGAGGAUAGAAUCACAGUACGGUUAUCAGAAAGCCAAGCAUUCCUAAGGAAAAUGGGAAAAUAUAGUCCAGGAAAGUAGCCAUCCUCAGACAUUACAACAGGAACCUAAAAUACUGAAACCAAACAAUUGUGACAUUAAUAGGGAACAUAUGGAAUCAUCACAUUCAUAAACAUCAGUAAGCCUUAAUAGUUUAUAAUGCCCUUAAGGAAAUUUCAACUACACUCAAAAUAUCUUCAUCAAUUUCACAAAUGCUGGGUAGUUGUGCCCAAAUAGUCUUUGUCAAUCUGUCAUAGUGAUUUAGCUACGUUACCACAAAAGCGCCA